AGGGGAGAGGACGCGGGAAGCCAGUGUGCCCCGGACGCAGUGUCCUAGCGCUCAUCGGGUCAUCCUCUGCAGCCCAGAUUGUCCCUGUCCAAGACUGCGGAAUGAAGAAUCCAGAACCUGUGUGUAAGUCCUCUCUGGUCAGCAAAGGAAUCUGUGCAGAGCGCCAUGAAUUAGAGGAUGGGGGAAUGAGUGCUUGAAGAUGCCCGAGGUAUGGUCCUUAUCCGUGUGACAUUUGGAGGUCCAGGUGAGAAAUCAGGGUUGAAAACUGCAUGGAGGAUUCAUCAUUUCUGCCCUGAAUUGGAAUCAAUUCCUUAUUGACUUAUUAUUACUGUAUUAAAAGUGUUUUUAAUUAACCA
ensembl:processed_transcript AA465934 expressed sequence AA465934